rnacentral:tRNA from 1 species
GGGGACUUGGUCUAGGGGUAUGAUACUCGCUUCGCACACUUCCACAGUGUAGCUUGUGAGGGGUCGGGGGUUCAAUUCCCCCAGUCUCCA